rnacentral:tRNA from 1 species
CCUGGUGGCUCAGACAGUAAAGAAUCUGCUUGCAAAGCAGGAGACCCAGGUUCAAUCCCUGGGUCAGGA